UACGGGGGGGGCAAGCGUUGUUCGGAAUUACUGGGCGUAAAGGGCCCGUAGGCGGCCAACUAAGUCGGACGUGAAAUCCCCAGGCUCAACCUGGGAACUGCGUCCGAUACUGGAUGGCUUGAAUCCGGGAGAGGGAUGCAGAAUUCCAGGUGUAGCGGUGAAAUGCGUAGAUAUCUGGAGGAAUACCGGUGGCGAAGGCGGCAUCCUGGACCGGCAUUGACGCUGAGGAGCGAAAGCCAGGGGAGCAAACGGG
rnacentral:rRNA from 1 species